rnacentral:lncRNA from 1 species
GAACACUCCCUACUUUGAGUUUGUACCAAUGUCUAGCUUUUUCCAUUAAAGAGAACGGAAAGAGCUUCCAUUUAAAGUUCUCAUCGGACAUUCCUUCUAUGCGAAGGAGGUCACAGACUUGAUAAAACUCUCUUAGGUGGGUGUAUGGGUUUUCCUCACUUUCUCCUGAGAAACGUUGUUUUUGAAUAAAUUCUAUGUAUUCGGGGUCUAUCUCAAAACUAGAUGCUAUGACAGGCUUUGAAGAUUUUGGUGGUGCGAGAUGUGUGCCCGCAGGUCUAUGGAAUUCAUAGAUAGACAUGUUUGAAUGAUAGACCAGAGAUCAAGGAUUAUAUAAGAAGAAAGAAUAGCAGAGAUAAGUAAAAGAUAUAAGGAAAAAUAUAUAUAUAAUUUUUUUUUAUUUUUUUUAGAAAAUGAUUAAGCUAGUUCGUAGUCAACUCAGCAAUCGUUUCCCCGGCAACGGUGCCAAAAAUGCUUGUUGACACUUGCUAACACCACUUGAAUACUAGGUUGUCAUCCCCAGCAUGGCACUAGAGUGUACUAUGGUAUUUAUACGCACACAGAUAAUCCGCAAGCGCACGGAUACCGUUAUAGCUUUUACCCGGUUAAAGGUUUUAUCGUAUCCAUAGGGAAACGGGAGAACUGAUCUAUGCUCUAACUUAACCAAGAUAAGUAAAUAGGUGUAAAUAGGAAAGAUGGUAGAAUCGAAUAAGAACAAUAUUAAAGGUAAGAUAACAGUGAGUGAUAAUAUGGGAAUAAAGAAUAAAGCAAUUCUAGUAUAUGGGCGAUGGUAGCAGAAUAGAGAGGAUAACUAUGGUUUCUCUACUUCAAAGGGGUAUGUCUAUGUCUGGGACGAACCACGUGAUAAGAGUACACCAGAAAGGAUGCUUAUCCUUAGGCUGAUAAACCCUACCCGUCCUACUAACGAGAGGUGGACUACAGAGGACCAACGUAACUGUCACCUACGCUGCCUGCCACACGAUCCAGCUAGACAGGGGAUAUCCACAAGUAAUCUAGGUCUAAGCACCACGCUUACACCUAUACUACAACUCUCACCUAUAGCGUCCUAUAGAUUAAAGUACUCAAAAGAGUUGUGAACCAGAAC